rnacentral:misc_RNA from 1 species
GGCGUCAAUCGCAAUUUAUCUGCUGCACGCCAUUUUGUCUUUGUCGUUUGUCGAUGGUUUGUAGACACAACCUGAGCAUACAGUUUAUUAUUGUAAAAGUUUAUUAUUUUCUUACGCUAAAAAUCAGUUAUUAAAAUAGAAAUAACGUGAAUAAAUAUAAAAAAAUAUUUAAAAAAUGAGUUACGGUCGUCCUCCUCCCCGUAUUGACGGGAUGGUGUCUUUGAAAGUUGAUAAUUUAACUUACAGAACAACGCCGGAGGAUUUGCGACGUGUGUUCGAGAGAUGCGGAGAAGUUGGUGAUAUUUAUAUUCCCAGAGACCGAUUCACCCGCGAAAGCCGUGGGUUCGCAUUUGUCAGAUUUUAUGACAAACGUGAUGCUGAAGACGCACUCGACGCAAUGGAUGGACGUCUUCUAGAUGGAAGGGAACUUCGUGUACAGAUGGCUCGUUACGGAAGGCCAACUUCACCUCACCGGAGCCGUGGAAGUCGCCGCCGAGGAAGAUCACGUAGUCGCAGCCGGGAUCGCCGACGGUCUCGUUCAAGAUCCAAGUCUAGGUCACGAAGCCGUGACCGUGACCGCAGACGUUCCUACAGCCGUAGUCACAGUCGUUCCCGCUCGGAUAGCAAAAGCUCCCGAGGUAAAUCUCACUCACGCAGUAAAUCUGCCGAAAGAGAGAAUAGCCGAUCUAAGUCUAGGGACUGAACUGGCUAAUGGUGUAUGAAAGUACAACAAAAUGAGAUGCACGUGUUCCGAGUUUGCAAUGCAGUUUAUUCUGACAUUGAAAAAAUAAGAAAAGGCGGUGGAAAGGCGUGGAGUGGAGUGUCGAGUGAUGGGGGUAGCUGAGAGUAUGCAGUAAGCCGAACUGUAAGCGGGGCUGUAUGCUGAGUUUGCUGUAUGCAGAGUUUGCGAGCUAAGCGGUUGCCGGUGUCUGGUGAUAACGAUGAGGAUGGCGAUGACGAUGACAAAGCUCGAGGUUCGCGGUGAAAGUGAAAGGCGCUAGCAGGGUUCCCGUUACAUUAAGCAAUAGUGAGUCUGAA